ACUAUUUAUUUGAUGUUAACAAAGCAUGACAUUUUUACUUAUAAAAUUACUAAAACGAUUUUGUUUAUUACAUUCAAACGAUAAUAAUAUGGCUAAAAUUUUCAUGUUUGUUUAUGUUUUGAUCAUCUUUCUUUCUCUAUUUAUGGUUGAAGCAAAUAUACCUGGUGCCCGCUGCGCUACUGACGAAGAUUGUCCUGUUGGUGAAAAGUGCAUUGGUGGUAAUUGUGUUGAAUAAUAAUGAAGUUUAAAAAUAAGUAUGUACCUCUAAGAAAAUAAUUUUAAUAAAUAAAGAGUAAUAAUUAAGUAUAAUAUGCAUGUAUUAUUGCCUUCUUAUAUUCAAGAUAUCACAACUUUACUA